rnacentral:pre_miRNA from 1 species
CAACUACUCCCUUUGUUCCAAAUUUCUUGUCUUAGAUUUGUCUAGAUACGGAUGUAUCUAAUACUAAAAUGUGACUUGAUACAUCCAUAUCUAGACAAAUCUAAGACAAGAAUUUUGGGACGGAGGGAGUACUUU